rnacentral:rRNA from 1 species
GAACGGGUGAGUAACACGUGGGUGAUCUGCCCUGCACUUUGGGAUAAGCCUGGGAAACUGGGUCUAAUACCGAAUAGGACCACGCGCUUCAUGGUGUGUGGUGGAAAGCUUUCGCGGUGUGGGAUGGGCCCGCGGCCUAUCAGCUUGUUGGUGGGGUAAUGGCCUACCAAGGCGACGACGGGUAGCCGGCCUGAGAGGGUGACCGGCCACACUGGGACUGAGAUACGGCCCAGACUCCUACGGGAGGCAGCAGUGGGGAAUAUUGCACAAUGGGCGCAAGCCUGAUGCAGCGACGCCGCGUGAGGGAUGACGGCCUUCGGGUUGUAAACCUCUUUCAAUAGGGACGAAGCGCAAGUGACGGUACCUAUAGAAGAAGCACCGGCCAACUACGUGCCAGCAGCCGCGGUAAUACGUAGGGUGCGAGCGUUGUCCGGAAUUACUGGGCGUAAAGAGCUCGUAGGUGGUUUGUCGCGUUGUUCGUGAAAACUCACAGCUUAACUGUGGGCGUGCGGGCGAUACGGGCAGACUAGAGUUCUGCAGGGGAGACCGGAAUUCCUGGUGUAGCGGUGGAAUGCGCAGAUAUCAGGAGGAACACCGGUGGCGAAGGCGGGUCUCUGGGCAGUAACUGACGCUGAGGAGCGAAAGCGUGGGGAGCGAACAGGAUUAGAUACCCUGGUAGUCCACGCCGUANACGGUGGGUACUAGGUGUGGGUUCCUUCCUUGGGAUCCGUGCCGUAGCUAACGCAUUAAGUACCCCGCCUGGGGAGUACGGCCGCAAGGCUAAAACUCAAAGGAAUUGACGGGGGCCCGCACAAGCGGCNNNGNAUGUGGAUUA